rnacentral:tRNA from 1 species
ACUUGAAUAGCUUAUUUGGUUUAGAGCGUGACACUGAAGAUGUCGAUGAGGUAUUUUGUUACCUUUAAGUA